AUGGCGCCUGUGCAGUGUAGGUCUUCCAGGUAUGGGAAGAACAGCACAGUGCUCGGCCUCUCUCUCGGGGCAAAGGCUGGCUCCAGGCUCGCCAGUGCAGUCACUCCCUCUUCAGCAUGUGCGGGGACUCCAUUUCCCAGCCUUCCAAACGGUACGAUUAGAGUCUGGUCACUGGAUUCUAGAACAGGUCUGACCCUGAAUCUCAUCGCGCAAUCUUCCACUUGUUCUCUCACCAUUCAUGAGAGAGGACAUCAAGGACUCCUGGUGGCCGGAGUCUGCAGCCCCCCUGGGCCAGGAGACCUCAGGCCUACCCCGGACCUAAACACGGGCAAGACAGAAUGGCAAGCUUGGGAUGCCAUCUUCCAGAGGGCAAAGCCCAGAUUUUGCGGAUUGCUGAUGGUUGAGAGCCUGAACAUGUCGGGAAGUGUGGAACAAACGCGUGGAUGGGGGUAGACACUCUUGCCUCCAAGUCACAGAGCCUCCCUGUCUUUGCAGAUGAGGACAGGGACCCCUUUCCAGCCAAAGGCAGCAGAAAAGCAGCGGCGGUAACUCCACCCUAACUUGGAUGUGAUUUAUUCCGAUGAAAACUCAGGGGGAAUUGUUUCAGAGGAAUCCAUAAAACAAAUGUCAUUUUCACCUGGAGAAUUCACCCAACCUUCUAACCAAUUUCAAAUAUAGCUCUUUAAUGCAGAUUUGACAAAUCUGAAAUCUCUUACCCGAAGCCAUUUAUCAUCUCAUGUGCGCCUGCCCUGCAACACAGUUUUAAGUUACAGCAUUUUAAUGGAGUAAAACACUUCUAUAAAAUCAUCAAAAUACCCUAAACCACAACUGUCUAUAAGAAAUUGAUGAGGUUCAAGCAUUGAUUCAACCCGUAAAACGUCAACCUUGCCAUUGGCACUAGGGGCACUUCCAACACAGCAGCUAAGGAGAGGGAAGAAUAUCUAAUGAGGCAUUUUGUAUGUCUAUGUGGUUUCUCAAACUGGAAAUAGAUCAAUGAUCCUUACAAACGCAUAUUUCAGCAGUGUAUUCAUAAACAAUAAUCUUGGUUUUCUAUCAUGACUUGAAUGUCAUUCUUUUCAUAACACAGCUGAAGACUUAAUGAUUUACAUGGACACAC
rnacentral:lncRNA from 1 species